GUGCCAGACUCCUACGGGAGGCAGCAGUGAGGAAUAUUGGUCAAUGGGCGGGAGCCUGAACCAGCCAAGUCGCGUGAGGGAAGACGGUCCUACGGAUUGUAAACCUCUUUUGCCGGGGAGCAACGGGGUCCUUGCGAGGGCCCAAUGAGAGUACCCGGAGAAAAAGCAUCGGCUAACUCCGUGCCAGCAGCCGCGGUAAUACGUAGGUGGCAAGCGUUAUCCGGAUUUAUUGGGUGUAAAGGGCGUGUAGGCGGGAAUGCAAGUCAGAUGUGAAAACUAUGGGCUCAACCCAUAGCCCGCAUUUGAAACUGUAUUUCUUGAGUGCUGGAGAGGCAAUCGGAAUUCCGUGUGUAGCGGUGAAAUGCGUAGAUAUUAGGAGGAACACCAGUGGCGAAGGCGGCCUGCUGGACGACAACUGACGGUGAGGCGCGAAAGCGUGGGGAGCAAACAGGAUUAGAUACCCCAGUA
rnacentral:rRNA from 1 species